ensembl:lncRNA
GACUGUCCUCCGUGGAAAGCUGACUCUGCGAUGCUGGCCAUCAGGUAGCGGGCCAGUGGGGUCAGCCGCAGAGACCACCACGGGCUUUGGCAGGCGUGUCACAGGCAGCUUAGCCUUAGCAGUGGGGAGGGUGGGCCCACACCCCACACUCUCCCGCAGGAAACCAGCGGAGCCCCCGCCCUCUCAACACCUGUGUCUCCCCCCCGCCCCACAGGUCAGAGGGCACCCAGCUCCCAGGCCCAUCACGAGCCAGCCCAGAGCCCGACACCAAGAGCAGCGAACCCGAGGAUGGUGAGGCCAGAGGCCCAGAGCCCCCUCCAGAGGGAGCCUGGGGGUCCGGCAACAGCCCAGCGAGCAGACCCCCGGGCCCAGCCCGUGCUUCUCCAGGGCUGGAUGAGCAGCUGUUCCGCUCGGUCGAGGGCCAGGCCGCCUCUGAUGAGGAGGACGACCGCGAGAAGUGGCAGGAGGCGCAGCGGCUUCCGGCCGAGGUCACAGCACUGCUGGCUGGUCUCUCCGGCUGCGGGAGUGGGUAGGUGCUCCCGCGAGGACGUCCAGGAUCGGGCAUACCGGGGGCCGGGCCCCCACGGUCAUCCUGGGAGCACAGGGGCGCCCCUCUAUGCAGUGAUGGGCCUGGGACGUGGGAGGCUGACCUGAUUCAUAUCCAGGCUGGGUCCCUUCCCUGCUGUUUCACGCUCGGUCCCCGGAUCCAUUGGUUGAGCCGAUGGCCCUGGGCAAGUGUCAGGGAGAAAUGAGCUGAGCGAGGGUACACUUCCUGGUGGCUUAAUUCCCCCUGAUCCUCACUCCAGUGACCACGGGUCCCCGGACCUGCCCCACAGCUCGAGUGUGACCCCCCCCACGUGUCAGACCCUUUCCUAACCCACUGCUCUCAACACUUAAGCCCGCCCCCCACCCCGGUCAAGUCACCUGACUUCUGAGCCUUAGGCUUCCUGUCUCUAAGAUGGGACACUAACACUUGCCUGGCAGAGGAUUUGUGAGGAUUCACCAUUGAGGGUAUAAAAUGCCCCCAUGGGGCCUGAUCCUGGCAGGCACUCCAUGGGAGUUGGGUGGGGGGGCAGCGCUGACUCUUUUAUUAUAAAGUUCUGCCGAUUUUCUUGGGUCACUGUAUCACCAACCCGUUAAGUCAACAAGCAUAUGAAGCACAUAUGAUAUGCCAGGCAAAUUUGAGGGCCCCUGGCAAACAGCACUAACCAAGGUAGCUUCCCCCAACACUCCCUGCCCAGGAGCCUCUGUUCUCCUGAGUGGUGACAAGCGUGAGGACGAGGACGGGGCAGGACAUGCUAGGAGGGCCACUGAGAAGGUGCUGUUUGAGCAGAGAUCUGAAGGAAAUGAGGGGAAAGCCUUUCGGGCAGAGGGAACAGCUGGUGCAAAGGCCCUGGGGCACAUGGGAGGGGCCUGGAGGAGGCUGCUGUGGUUGGAGCAGAAAGAGCGAAGGUGAGUGGGAAGGAGCUCAGGGAGGUAACGGGCAGACUGGGCAAGGCCUCUGGCUUUUGCUCUGAUGACAUGGGGAACCGGGGAAGGGUGUGGGCAGGGGGUGCCAUGGCCCCACCUAGCUUUCAGGGGAGACAGACUCGGUAAUAACGCAUUCCCGCCACCUGCAGGCUGGAACAGACUUUGGAAAGCAGCCCCCCCUGUG